rnacentral:rRNA from 1 species
GACAGAGGGUGCAAACGUUGCUCGGAAUUACUGGGCGUAAAGCGCGUGUAGGCGGAUCGGAAAGUCGGGCGUGAAGGCCCCAGGCUCAACCUGGGAACUGCACUCGAAACUCCCGGUCUUGAGUGGUGGAGAGGGAAGUGGAAUUCCUGGUGUAGAGGUGAAAUUCGUAGAUAUCAGGAGGAACACCAGUGGCGAAGGCGGCUUCCUGGACACCAACUGACGCUGAGACGCGAAAGCGUGGGGAGCAAACAGG